GACGAACGCUAGCGGCGUGCUUAACACAUGCAAGUCGAACGGUAAGGCCCUACGGGGUACACGAGUGGCGAACGGGUGAGUAACACGUGGGUGAUCUGCCCUGCACUUCGGGAUAAGCCUGGGAAACUGGGUCUAAUACCGGAUAGGACCCUGGGAUGCAUGUCCUGGGGUGGAAAGCUUUUGCGGUGUGGGAUGGGCCCGCGGCCUAUCAGCUUGUUGGUGGGGUGAUGGCCUACCAAGGCGACGACGGGUAGCCGGCCUGAGAGGGUGACCGGCCACACUGGGACUGAGAUACGGCCCAGACUCCUACGGGAGGCAGCAGUGGGGAAUAUUGCACAAUGGGCGCAAGCCUGAUGCAGCGACGCCGCGUGAGGGAUGACGGCCUUCGGGUUGUAAACCUCUUUCAGCACCGACGAAGCGCAAGUGACGGUAGGUGCAGAAGAAGGACCGGCCAACUACGUGCCAGCCGCCGCAGUAA
rnacentral:rRNA from 1 species